CGAGCUCUUGUUUUUACCACCUUCUGAAUUUGACAGCAUGCGGGGGACUCGUCCGAUCGAUGCGCUGAGACUGGUCUCUGUUGAAUCCAAUUGAUCGGAGCUGAAUUUGGACGUCCUGUGCCUGUUUGUCUUGUACAGGCCAAAGGGGCAUUCAUUGUGAUUUGGUGCGAUAUAAGUGAAACCAGUACUGUUUUGAACAUUACUUGUGGUCCAAAGCCUCAGCAAAACUACAUGCCUUCAUCAUUAGGUUUUUGUGGGCUUGAUUAGCUUUUUGAGUGCUUAGCAUCAGGGUUACUAUUUGGCAUCACUUGUGUCAAACCGCAUCCACAAGGAGGCCAAAGGGCCUUAUUAAAAGGCACAGUUUGUACCCAAAUUUUGUCGUUUUAUGAAUGUUUUCAAGUUUCUCAGUCCUAAAACGCUUUAACAACCAAAUGUGCGUUCAGUGUUUUUUAAAUCAGCGUCUUUAAGGAUUUUGCACUGUUUCUUAAUUUAUGUAAACAGCACUAAAACCUUCGUCACUUUCUCUCCUUCGAGUCCAAGAAAGCUGCAGCUCCUUAGUUUAGCUUAGAGCAAACAGCACAAGUGCUUGUUUACCAGGCUGUGUGGUUUGACAUGAAGAAACAAUGUGAAAACAUCCUUUGUGUCUUAAUGUCUGUGAUCAGACAACUCUACCCUCACCCUUUCAUUUCCUGCUCGUCUCCUUUUUCUGAACUCUCCUCAAGAUGUGGAAAAGCUCCUCAGUGGGGAACUGUGAGCCGCCUGCUAUAAAACUCAAAACACAGAGAUGAGCAGACAGAUGCUCCUGCAUCUUCCCCAUUCCUUUCAUGCCGCAGUCCUCAUUUUCCGCCCCCCUCAUCUGGGAAAGAGGGGCGACUGCCGUCCGGACUGAGCGGAGACUGGAAUAAUGAAAAACUGGGAACUCUGCCCGACUUGUUCUCUGUGUCUCACCGGUUCUCCUGCAUCUGUCUUCCUCUCGGCCCUCCGGCGCUAAGCUUACAUCUGUUUGCAUUAUCUUCCAUUUCCACCUGAGCCUCUGACUACCUCUCACAUUGUGGCUAAAGCUGCGGAGUAGGCCAGCAGCUUAGCUCUGCUCAAACGGAGGCAUCCGGUAGCAGUCUGAACAGAGUUAUCGGGUCCUGCUUCCAAUCAGGGAGGAUUACAGAAACGGGACUGGAGCUUCUGAAAUGCACCGCGGAAACAAUAUGAUGUUCCCAGUUCUCACUGUCUGACUUUCACUGAGGUUACGUGGGAUAAGACGUAGCUUUAGUGUGGAAUGAGCAGGGAAGGUCGUAGCAGACGUUUAAAUUAAGUUUAAACUUUUAUUCGCAGCUUUUUUAUUUCGAAUCAGGACUUUUUUUGGUCCUGUUUAAGUCCAAGCGUCAUACUUCAGUGAAAUGUAUGCCACUGAUGUGACAUCAAACCAAGUCUUAUUAGUACCUUGUGAUAUUAUUUGACACAAAACGGAUGUUUCUGAUGCUUCAGAUUUUUCUAGAAAGCAACAGAUAUUUUGUCUCCAUAUUUUCAAAUAUCUCAUCAAAGCAUUUAAGGUAGAGGAGUGAACAGGAUUUAACGUCUCGUUGCCGUUUGUCUCUUGAGUGGAGGAGGGCUGGUCAUGUGGUAUUUGUUUGGUGAGAGUGAUGCAGCAAAGGACUGUGGGAAGUUCAACCGAAGCAGAGAAACAGUGGUGAAGGAGUGUGGUCGCUUUUUUUAACGGUCAAUCUAUAAAAUAUCGUUAAAUAUUGGUUACCGGCCAUAACAGCAGUAUUAAUAUCGGAUAUUGGCUCAAAUGUUCAUAUUGGUGUAUCCCUACAUUUACUUGGAGAAAUUCUUCAUGGUGUUGGUCCAUAACUAGUGUUUUUUACGGGUAUUGCGUUCUUAAUAAUGACAAUUUUUGCUCCAGUUCUCACACAUUGAGCUGUGCAGAUUUUCUUCCUGCUCACUGUAUGUAGAGACAAGAUAAACGCAGAUCCUCGUCCAGCCUCGUUUUCAUAGAUCCAGGUUCUUAAAACGGUUUUUAAGAGUUGCUCUGACUGUAGCUGUGGAUGAGUUUAGAGGAGCAGCAUUUUUUUCUGGAUUUCUGAAAAUCGUCACACAUGCAGGUGAUUUAAAUUGCAAGUUUUCUCGUCUUUUCCAUUUUGAAGAAUGGCUAUCUGUGUCAAGAAAAAUAGAAAAUUAUAAAACGCUAAGAAAAGUUCACAAACAUUGUAAUGAACUAAGUAUAAUGUCGAGAAUAAAACCAAUUCUUCAUUUAUGUUCAUUUUUUAGGAAAUCUAGAGGGGUGCCGAUAAAUGUUGCUCUAUUGCAACAAAACAAGUUCCCCCCCCAUCACUGAAUAAUAAAACAAAUUGUCAAAUUAAAUGUUGGAUUACACAAAUUCUUUGCAAUUUAAUAUUAAGAUAAUAAUAUGCCCCUUUCGAUGUUUUGGUAUACGUCAUUUAUUUAUAGCAAGUACGUAUCUUUAUCGCUUAAGUUCCUUGCUUUCCUACUUGUCGUCUUGCCUGACGAUCGACUGCAUUGAUCGAAUGAGCAUUAGCGAGCAUCGACUUGGCAUUUAUUAAACACAAAUAUCCGUCAAGCAAAAAUAUCAAUUCACUCUCAAUAAGAAUUCAUUGGCAAAGGUCACACAGACGUCUCCUGGUCAUUUGAAGUUAUCAGUUUGCUUCAAUGGCAUCAAAUUAGCUGUUUUUUUGUUGCAUUAUGUCUUGGUUGUGUUUGCCUGUUUGGUGCAGGCUUCCUGUUACAUUCAAGCAGCAUCGACGCCGAGCUCAAAGCUGUGGAGAAAAACUGAAAUCCAAUAUUGGAAGUUUUCUAAGUUGGAUCAGCUUGUCUAUAGCGUUCAGCAAACACAUUUAGGCCGACUGCCUGGCCCGUGUGAGGGUAAUAGUAAUGAGGCUGAAUAGAAAGCCCUCGCACGAAUUGGCCCCAUACAUCGAAUAAAGAGUGGGACUAAACAAUAUCCGUCUGAUCCUGUCUGCUUCCUUGGGUGUAUUGAUUUGCCGGCAGGUGAUCUGGAAUAACGAGCGGAAGCGGGUGCUUUCUCUCCUGCGGGUAUUCUCCGACAUUUCCGAGGGCAAAACGAUUCACAAAGCUCCAAGGAGGUUUUUAAUACCUGCAGACGUGCUCUGUUAUCAUGUUUUUUUUAAUCUUUUUGCAAAGUUUGACUUCCACUAAAGGUUAUCGCUUCUUCAACCUGCUGUGUUUAACAUCCCUGUCUACAGGAACCAGGUUUGUUAUUAAUCAACCUGAUCUAACCACCUCACGAAGAAAAUCCUGCCCCGCUGUGUCGGAUCCUAAUGAUGUUAUUUCUAAUUCUCUCGUGGCGGAGAAGUAAUAAUGAUCAAAUUAACCCUUUGACACGCCCGGUUUAUAAAAUAACUUAAAACCGAAGGUGGACUGCGGCUGAUUGAUGAGUGUUUGUGGUGUCGGGCCCUCAUAUUUGACUGCAGGCCUUUUUGGCUCAGUGUCCACGCUUUCCUCUUUUUGUCAGGGUUCCUGUGUGCAUGUGUGAGUGCGAGUAACACAUCUCUUCCAGCGAGGAUCUUGGUGGAGAGCCGGGGCAGCCUUCACAGGUGGAGCUCCUCUGCCUCAUCAGAGUGCUGGGGAUAAAGGAGCAGCAGAGCCUUCACUCAGUGCUGGAUGAUUAACGUCUACUGGAUUUGUCACUGGAUCUUUCUAGAGGAAUCAGUUCAACCAUUUUCUCCUCCUGUGGACCCCACCAGUAAGGACCUGCCUGCCUGCUCCACUGUUCCCACCAUCUCCACUCCGCUCAAUCACACCUCUGGUUCUCGGUCACCACCUACCUCGCACUCGCCUCAGGAAGCACCAUCACCACUCUCCACACAGGACCCCUGGGCACCUCUCUCCCACGCUUCACCAAAUCCAUUCGAAAGCGCCGCGGAUUGCGUGACACUAACCACUCCCAGAAACGUCAAGGAAACCUGUCAAUUGUUUGUUCCUUUGAAAGAAAAUAAAACCUAUUCAUUACUUGGA